UCGCGUGAAAUCAUCCUCCUUAGGAGAACACGCAGGCCGCUCGUCUUCUCUAUUGGUCUCUCUCCCAACCCCAGACCCAUGAAAAAUCAACGCCAUGACUGAUCAGUUCCGGCUGGAGAACCUCUCCAGAACCUCGCAGAUCUUCCGCGAGACAACUUCUUCCUUCACCUCCAAGCUCCCCACAUUCCUCUUCCUGGCGCUCCUUCUCUUCUCAUUCCGCACCACCGUCGAGGAUGGCACCCGCCAUCUUACCUCCUUCAUCGAUCGAGACGCUUCCCUCAAGGCGCUCCUAUCCCGCCUCGACCUCGCCGGCACCCAAGCCUCCCGUCGCCAUGGCCUUUCCUCCCCCGAUGAAUCCCCCGCCGCUCUACGCCGCCGCCGCCGUCGCCCCUUCCUUCACCUCACCCGCAUCGGCACCCUUGACGAGGACUUCUUCUCCGGCAAUGAAGAAGAGGAUCGGUCCGCCUUCGGCUUCAACCGCAAGCCACCAGUCAAUGGCACCCUUGUCUUUUUCAACAAUUUCAGCCCCAGAUUAGGGUCUUCGAGUCCCGUAAUUGACAACGGGAUCAACAUCCCUGAGAUCGUCCGCACCGGAAUUAGUUUCCGAGCUGAGAGCUUGUAUCUUUCCUCCGACGAUGACAAACGCGACGACCACAAAGAUGAGCAAGAAGAAAGCUUGGAGGAAGUUCAAGACUUGGACAGAAUCGUGGAUUUCCAUUUCCUUAUCAAAGGACUAGAGCUUGGUCGGCGCGACGCCGCAACGCUGCUCUUCCUUGUGAGUUUUCUAUCCGCCGCCUAUGGUUGGGUGAUUCUAGGGUUUCUCGUUUCGUAUUCAUUGGUAUUAGGCAUUGUUUUUAUUACUGUUGCGAAUGAUCUGUUAGGGAGGUUCAGUUCAUUUCUCGGUACAAUGUGGGAGGGUUCGAGAUUGGGCCUCAAGAGGCUUUCAGGGUUUAUUUUGAUGAGAUGGGCGGUGAGAGAUGCACUAACUCAACUCUUAGGGUUGUGGUAUUUCGGCGAAAUUGAAGAUCAGUACUCAUUUUUUAAGCUUUUUGUGAGGUUGAAAUUGAUGCCAUUUUCGAUUAUGUCUCCAUGGAUUAGUGGUUAUGAGAAGGAGAUUUCAGGGUUUUUGUUUACGUGGUUUUUGGCCGAUACGAUUGUGGCUUUUAUUUUUUCUGUGGAUGCUUGGGUUGCCAUAGUAGACUCAAGGAGGACCGGGAGGGAGAUAAUGAAGGAAGGUUGUUAUCUGAUAUCGACAAUGUUGAACCAGGCUAUCCAGAUUAAGUGUUUGGAAGCUAUCUUUUGUGGCUCAUUUGUAAGAUGGGUUCUUGCUCGAGUCUGUGGGAGGUUCUUUGCAAUGGUGAUUCAGUCAGCUGUGGAGGUUUAUUUCAUGGUGGCUUGGCUCAUAUUUUACUUUGCUGUAAGGUGUAAGGAUUCUAGCUUGCAGGGUAGGAGGUUUGGGAGGAGAGAAUUGGAGGGUUUGGUUGACGGCCUAAGAUGAUUCUCGGUGGUAAUCAGGAAUUACUUGUGUUGUUAUAUUACAGAGCUUUUGUAUCUAUGAUCAUUUUCUAUUUAACUUCUUCAAAUGAGUCAAGACAGCCUCUGCGUACGACUUAAGUGGGUCUGUCGAGGAGAAGGAGAGGGCUUUUAAGGUUGUGGAGAAUAAAUUUUGAGGGCAGGAGUCCCGAUUUCAGUUUACUCGACUUGGGGGGGUGCUUCUAUCAAAGCUACAGUUGAGAGCACAAAGCUUCAUACAAGCAUUGGUGACGUACUCUUGGCUCUUGACUCAAGUGAUGAAGAGGUGGUGGGAUGAGGUUGAGGUUAGUCACAUGUUCAAAUCUUUCUCGUUGAACGAAGAAAAUUAGAAGUGAGCAUCAAUGACACUGCAGUGUUGUGGCCUUCUGAGAAUGUGUUUGCUGUUCCCUCGAGUUACAACAAACCGAACAAAUGUUUCUUGAAAAUGUUUCUUUCCUUAUCCUAGGAUAAUUUUAGUGAAUGCCAAUCUUCUUUGCC